rnacentral:rRNA from 1 species
GACGAACGCUGGCGGCGUGCUUAACACAUGCAAGUCGAACGGAAAGGCCCUGCUUUUGUGGGGUGCUCGAGUGGCGAACGGGUGAGUAACACGUGAGUAACCUGCCCUUGACUUUGGGAUAACUUCAGGAAACUGGGGCUAAUACCGGAUAGGAGCUCCUGCUGCAUGGUGGGGGUUGGAAAGUUUCGGCGGUUGGGGAUGGACUCGCGGCUUAUCAGCUUGUUGGUGGGGUAGUGGCUUACCAAGGCUUUGACGGGUAGCCGGCCUGGGAGGGUGACCGGCCACCUUGGGACUGAGGUACGGCCCAGACUCCUACGGGAGGCAGCAGUGGGGAAUAUUGCACAAUGGGCGGAAGCCUGAUGCAGCAACGCCGCGUGCGGGAUGACGGCCUUCGGGUUGUAAACCGCUUUCGCCUGUGACGAAGCGUGAGUGACGGUAAUGGGUAAAGAAGCACCGGCUAACUACGUG